rnacentral:rRNA from 1 species
UACAUGUGGGGCAAGCGUUGUUCGGAAUUACUGGGCAUAAAGGGUGCGUAGGCGGCUUAUCAAGUCUGUGGUGAAAGUUUUCGGCCCAACCGGAAAAUUGCCGCGGAUACUGAUGAGCUUGAGUGCGUGAGGGAUGGGGGGGAACGAGCAGUGUAGCGGUGAAAUGCGUAGAUAUCUGGAGGAACACCGGUGGCGAAGGCGGCAUCCUGGACCGGCAUUGACGCUGAGGCGCGAAAGCUAGGGGAGCAAACGGGG